UCUUCCCGGCGAGUCAUCGCCGGAAAUCCAUCUCUCUCUCCCUCGCAUACAUCGGUAACCACCCAAACACUCACCUCUCAAUCUCUCUCGAAUCUCCUCCGGCGAAGAACCGUCGGUCAGUCACCUCCCUCAACGUUUCACUACAGCGCCGUUGUUCCUGCUGCUCCGGCGACUCACGACGAGGCCACCGCCGAUUGCUGCUGUUUGUGGAAGCGCCGCCGACUGCUGCUGUUCGUGGAGUCCGCCGCCGACUGCUGCUGUUCUGAAGUUGGCCGCCGACUGCUGCUGUUCUGGUAUCGCGGGCUGCUGUUGCAGAGCUCCGACAGCCACCACCGUCGUCGGCUGCCGCUGCCUCGCCCAAGGCCGACUUCUGCUACCAAGCACCGAACGCCGCUGCUGUAGGGAGGCCGGCGAACAGUCGGGUGUUCGCCGUUUCCAGUUCUUCUCCGAGUUCCGAAGCCGGUGAGAGCUCCAUCAUCGCGUCGUCUCGUUCGUCUCUCGGCCCAACUGAACAGGUCGUGGAGCAACAAGGCGAGCUUCUCGCCUGAACCCACCGCCAAGCACCGAGUCGCUGCUGCUCGUCGUCUCUCGAUCAGCCUGAACAGGCCGCGUCCCUUCUUCCUAAAGCUAAGUUAUAUCCUUGACUCGUCUUCUUCCUACCAUGUAUGAGUAUCGAUAAGCUUAAGCUUCUAUGAGUAAGAAAGAAUCAGGGUUUAACACUCUGUCAGUGAGCAUGCUAUCGCUAUCCUUGUUCGUUCAUUCAUGUGCUAUGUGUGAGGUCCUCAUGGUUUGUGUUCUAGAGUGCAGUGGCAGUAUACACAUAAGUCUUUCUAUUGCUAUACAUAACAUGGACUGUUUGAUGUAGUGGUAAAACAUGAUUAUGCUCGUUGGUAUGAAUGCGAACUCGAUUGGAUAACUGAGGUAGUAUAAAUACCUUGAAUGAUGCUUGCUUUGGUGUUUGUUGGCUGUUGUGGUUGGAUUAAAUGAAGCAGCAGAUCGAACUGAAAUAAUAAAGUUGUUCUUGCAUUAAUGCAGGUGGAAUAAGGGAAGAAGGUGGAGCAUUGAAGACAAGCUUACCUUGAGAAUACUUGGUAGGAUGAAUUAAAGGCUCACUUCUCCUUGUGCAGUCCUCAAAUGAAGAAUGAAGAGAAUGCAACAAUGUUGGCUGUUUUGAAUGACGAGGUGGUUUGGCUGGGAGCUUGUAUACAUGGGAGGAGGUACAUUCUAGGGUGGCUGAUUGACAUAUUUAGGUGUACUUGGGUAUGGCAGCCUGCUGCAUAGGCGUGGGAAAAGAAAG
rnacentral:lncRNA from 1 species